UACGAAGGGGGCUAGCGUUGCUCGGAAUCACUGGGCGUAAAGCGCACGUAGGCGGAUUGCUAAGUCAGGGGUGAAAUCCUGGAGCUCAACUCCAGAACUGCCUUUGAUACUGGCGAUCUCGAGUCCGGGAGAGGUGAGUGGAACUGCGAGUGUAGAGGUGAAAUUCGUAGAUAUUCGCAAGAACACCAGUGGCGAAGGCGGCUCACUGGCCCGGUACUGACGCUGAGGUGCGAAAGCAUGGGGAGCAAACAGG
rnacentral:rRNA from 1 species